rnacentral:rRNA from 1 species
AAUGGGUCAGCGACUUAUAUUCUGUAGCAAGGUUAACCGAAUAGGGGAGCCGAAGGGAAACCGAGUCUUAACUGGGCGUUAAGUUGCAGGGUAUAGACCCGAAACCCGGUGAUCUAGCCAUGGGCAGGUUGAAGGUUGGGUAACACUAACUGGAGGACCGAACCGACUAAUGUUGAAAAAUUAGCGGAUGACUUGUGGCUGGGGGUGAAAGGCCAAUCAAACCGGGAGAUAGCUGGUUCUCCCCGAAAGCUAUUUAGGUAGCGCCUCGUGAAUUCAUCUCCGGGGGUAGAGCACUGUUUCGGCAAGGGGGUCAUCCCGACUUACCAACCCGAUGCAAACUGCGAAUACCGGAGAAUGUUAUCACGGGAGACACACGGCGGGUGCUAACGUCCGUCGUGAAGAGGGAAACAACCCAGACCGCCAGCUAAGGUCCCAAAGUCAUGGUUAAGUGGGAAACGAUGUGGGAAGGCCCAGACAGCCAGGAUGUUGGCUUAGAAGCAGCCAUCAUUUAAAGAAAGCGUAAUAGCUCACUGGUCGAGUCGGCCUGCGCGGAAGAUGUAACGGGGCUAAACCAUGCACCGAAGCUGCGGCAGCGACGCUUAUGCGUUGUUGGGUAGGGGAGCGUUCUGUAAGCCUGUGAAGGUGUGCUGUGAGGCAUGCUGGAGGUAUCAGAAGUGCGAAUGCUGACAUAAGUAACGAUAAAGCGGGUGAAAAGCCCGCUCGCCGGAAGACCAAGGGUUCCUGUCCAACGUUAAUCGGGGCAGGGUGAGUCGACCCCUAAGGCGAGGCCGAAAGGCGUAGUCGAUGGGAAACAGGUUAAUAUUCCUGUACUUGGUGUUACUGCGAAGGGGGGACGGAGAAGGCUAUGUUGGCCGGGCGACGGUUGUCCCGGUUUAAGCGUGUAGGCUGGUUUUCCAGGCAAAUCCGGAAAAUCAAGGCUGAGGCGUGAUGACGAGGCACUACGGUGCUGAAGCAACAAAUGCCCUGCUUCCAGGAAAAGCCUCUAAGCAUCAGGUAACAUCAAAUCGUACCCCAAACCGACACAGGUGGUCAGGUAGAGAAUACCAAGGCGCUUGAGAGAACUCGGGUGAAGGAACUAGGCAAAAUGGUGCCGUAACUUCGGGAGAAGGCACGCUGAUAUGUAGGUGAAGUCCCUCGCGGAUGGAGCUGAAAUCAGUCGAAGAUACCAGCUGGCUGCAACUGUUUAUUAAAAACACAGCACUGUGCAAACACGAAAGUGGACGUAUACGGUGUGACGCCUGCCCGGUGCCGGAAGGUUAAUUGAUGGGGUUAGCGGUAACGCGAAGCUCUUGAUCGAAGCCCCGGUAAACGGCGGCCGUAACUAUAACGGUCCUAAGGUAGCGAAAUUCCUUGUCGGGUAAGUUCCGACCUGCACGAAUGGCGUAAUGAUGGCCAGGCUGUCUCCACCCGAGACUCAGUGAAAUUGAACUCGCUGUGAAGAUGCAGUGUACCCGCGGCAAGACGGAAAGACCCCGUGAACCUUUACUAUAGCUUGACACUGAACAUUGAGCCUUGAUG